rnacentral:tRNA from 3 species
GCCAGAGUAGCUCAGUCGGCAGAGCACCACUUUCGUAAAGUGGGGGUCAUGAGUUCGAUUCUCAUCUCUGGCU